rnacentral:rRNA from 1 species
GAUGAACGCUGGCGGCGUGCCUAAUACAUGCAAGUCGAGCGAACAGACGAGGAGCUUGCUCCUCUGACGUUAGCGGCGGACGGGUGAGUAACACGUGGAUAACCUACCUAUAAGACUGGGAUAACUUCGGGAAACCGGAGCUAAUACCGGAUAAUAUAUUGAACCGCAUGGUUCAAUAGUGAAAGACGGUUUUGCUGUCACUUAUAGAUGGAUCCGCGCCGCAUUAGCUAGUUGGUAAGGUAACGGCUUACCAAGGCAACGAUGCGUAGCCGACCUGAGAGGGUGAUCAGCCACACUGGAACUGAGACACGGUCCAGACUCCUACGGGAGGCAGCAGUAGGGAAUCUUCCGCAAUGGGCGAAAGCCUGACGGAGCAACGCCGCGUGAGUGAUGAAGGUCUUCGGAUCGUAAAACUCUGUUAUUAGGGAAGAACAAAUGUGUAAGUAACUAUGCACGUCUUGACGGUACCCAAUCAGAAAGCCACGGCUAACUACGUG